GAUGAACGCUGGCGGCGUGCCUAAUACAUGCAAGUCGAGCGAACGGACGAGAAGCUUGCUUCUCUGAUGUUAGCGGCGGACGGGUGAGUAACACGUGGAUAACCUACCUAUAAGACUGGGAUAACUUCGGGAAACCGGAGCUAAUACCGGAUGAUAUUUUGAACCGCAUGGUUCAAAAGUGAAAGACGGUCUUGCUGUCACUUAUAGAUGGAUCCGCGCUGCAUUAGCUAGUUGGUAAGGUAACGGCUUACCAAGGCAACGAUGCAUAGCCGACCUGAGAGGGUGAUCGGCCACACUGGAACUGAGACACGGUCCAGACUCCUACGGGAGGCAGCAGUAGGGAAUCUUCCGCAAUGGGCGAAAGCCUGGCGGAGCAACGCCGCGUGAGUGAUGAAGGUCUUCGGAUCGUAAAACUCUGUUAUUAGGGAAGAACAUAUGUGUAAGUAACUGUGCACAUCUUGACGGUACCUAAUCAGAAAGCCACGGCUGACUACGUG
rnacentral:rRNA from 1 species